rnacentral:rRNA from 1 species
GACGAACGCUGGCGGCGUGCUUAACACAUGCAAGUCGAACGGUGAAGCGCCUUCCUUUUUGGUGGGUGUGGAUGAGUGGCGAACGGGUGAGUAACACGUGAGUAACCUGCCCCCUUCUUCUGGAUAACCGCAUGAAAGUGUGGCUAAUACGGGAUAUUCUGGGUCUGUCGCAUGAUGGGUCUGGGAAAGAUAUUGUUUCGGUGUGGGAUGGGCUCGCGGCCUAUCAGCUUGUUGGUGGGGUGAUGGCCUACCAAGGCGGUGACGGGUAGCCGGCCUGAGAGGGUGGACGGUCACACUGGGACUGAGACACGGCCCAGACUCCUACGGGAGGCAGCAGUGGAGAAUAGUGCACAGUGGGCGCAAGCCUGAUGCAGCGACGCCGCGUGAGGGAUGGAGGCCUUCGGGUUGUGAACCUCUUUCGCCAGUGAAGCAGGCCUGCCUCGUUUGUGGGUGGGUUGACGGUAGCUGGAGAAGAAGCGCCGGCUAACUACGUG